AGCUUUUUGAAUCCGUGCUGAGAUUUCGUCAGGUACCAACCCAUUAUGGCUGAUUAGACUUCCAAGAUAAGUGAAGUU
rfam:Schistosoma haematobium scaffold268_39, whole genome shotgun sequence.